rnacentral:rRNA from 1 species
AGCAGCCGCGGUAAUUCCAGCUCCAAUAGCGUAUAUUAAAGUUGUUGCAGUUAAAAAGCUCGUAGUUGAAUUUCGAGAUCAAAUUGUUGGUCGUGCCUUGGUACGCACUGGCAUUAUUGGUUUCUCCCUUCUGAAGAACCAAGAUGUCAUUAAUUUGGUGUCUUGGGGAAUCAGGACUGUUACUUUGAAAAAAUUAGAGUGUUUAAAGCAGGCUCGCGCUUGAAUACAUUAGCAUGGAAUAAUGAAAUAGGACGUUUGAUUCUAUUUUGUUGGUUUCUAGGAUCGACGUAAUGGUUAAUAGGGAUAGUUGGGGGCAUUAGUAUUCAAUUGUCAGAGGUGAAAUUCUUGGAUUUAUUGAAGUACUAACUACUGCGAAAGCAUUUGCCAAGGAUGUUUUCAUUAAUCAAGAACGAAAGUUAGGGGAUCGAAGACGAUCAGAUACCGUCGUAGUCUUAACCAUAAACUAUGCCGACUAGGGAUCGGAUGAUGUUAAUUUUUAAUGACUCAUUCGGCGCCUUAA